rnacentral:rRNA from 1 species
GACGAACGCUGGCGGCGUGCUUAACACAUGCAAGUCGAACGAUGAACCCGCUUCGGUGGGGGAUUAGUGGCGAACGGGUGAGUAACACGUGGGCAAUCUGCCCUGCACUCUGGGACAAGCCCUGGAAACGGGGUCUAAUACCGGAUAAUACCUUCCCUCGCAUGGGGGUGGGUUCAAAGCUCCGGCGGUGCAGGAUGAGCCCGCGGCCUAUCAGCUUGUUGGUGAGGUAGUGGCUCACCAAGGCGACGACGGGUAGCCGGCCUGAGAGGGCGACCGGCCACACUGGGACUGAGACACGGCCCAGACUCCUACGGGAGGCAGCAGUGGGGAAUAUUGCACAAUGGGCGAAAGCCUGAUGCAGCGACGCCGCGUGAGGGAUGACGGCCUUCGGGUUGUAAACCUCUUUCAGCAGGGAAGAAGCGCAAGUGACGGUACCUGCAGAAGAAGCGCCGGCUAACUACGUGCCAGCAGCCGCGGUAAUACGUAGGGCGCAAGCGUUGUCCGGAAUUAUUGGGCGUAAAGAGCUCGUAGGCGGUCUGUCGCGUCGGAUGUGAAAGCCCGGGGCUUAACCCCGGGUCUGCAUUCGAUACGGGCAGACUAGAGUGUGGUA